GGGAAUGGCGGAGAGGUUCGGGGGAAUGGAGGAGAGGUCCGGGGGACUGGAGGAGAGGUCCGGGGGAAUGGAGGAGAGGUCCGGGGGAAUGGAGGAGAGGUCCGGGGGAAUGGAGGAGAGGUCCGGGGGAAUGGAGGAGAGGUCCGGGGGAAUGGAGGAGAGGUCCGGGGGAAUGGAGGAGAGGUCCGGGGGAAUGGAGGAGAGGUCGUGGGGAAUGGUGGAGAGGUCCGGGGGAAUGGUGGAGAGGUCCGGGGCAGCUUCCGAGCCCGCAGGAAGACGUCCCGGGGGCAGGCUUUGCUGACUUCAGGCAAUGGGCAUGGCAGAACAGCCCAUAAUGGCAACAGCAGUCCGGUCUGUGAGGGUAUUGUGUCGCUGGAGCCAAGAGAAUCCAAAUACCACGGAAACCUGAGGAGACUUAAUUAGCAUGAAUUGGAUUUCCUCGCUGUGGUUCCCUGAUACUCGUAAGUUGAUGGGAGUGGAAUUUUGGUUGACCCGGUCUAUAGAGCACCCGUCCAGCAUUCUAACGUCCAUGGGAAUGGAGAGGGGCUGAAUGGAGAUGCCCAGCUCGGAUGCCAGGGAGGUGUCCAUAAAACUCUCAUCAGCCCCAGAGUCAAUGAGUACCCGGAGAGAUUUCGACUGGUCUCCCAACAGCAGGAUGGAGUGGAGAGGGGUGCGAGUAAGGGGAGA
ensembl:lncRNA